rnacentral:lncRNA from 10 species
AAGUGGGACAGCUUUUGGCAGGCUUUUCCUGAGGCCUCGGCGCUUCCAUCCUGGACAGCACCACUUCCACAUGGAGCUGGAAUGCAAGCAGGCUGCUAAUUGGCCUUAAAAAUUCUUUGUUUUUUUUUGAGAUGGAGUUUCACUCUUGUUGCCCAGGAGAAUUGCUUGAACCAGAGAGGCGGAGGUUGCAGUGAGCCGAGAUCGCGCCACUGCACUCCAGCCUGGGCAACAAGAGCGAAACUCUGUCUCAAAAAUAAAAAAUUCCCUUUAACACCUUCAA